GUCCAGGGAUGGGAAUCGAACCCACAGUGUUCCGCUUACCAGGCAGGAUGCCAUGUCCACUAGGCUACCCUGGA